UUGAAAAAGAGUUUAUAGAAAAAGAAAGAAACGAAUAUUCUAUUCAUUUAUUUCUUUUUCUUCAAAGUCAAGUUCAAUUUAGACACGUGACGCGAUUUUUUUCCUGGUUCAAUACGAACAUGAUACAAACAAAGCAAAUUCUCGAGGAAUUUUUAAAGUCCACGAUGAAAUUAUACAAGUAGUAGUAUGUAUAUUGUACAUUUAUGAACGGCGAAGGGAAUAUCCGUUUCGUUUUACGUAAUUAAGGUGCAUUGACAUCUUCAAGGCAACAAGAAAUAUUUAACAUAGAGACUAAGAAAACUAUCUUUAGAUUUUUCUAUAAAAACAAAAAAAAAAGAAAGACAGGAUGUCAAGAAAUUUGAUAUAUCACAAAUCAUGAAAGAUAGUAAAUCAUAUUGUGGCUUGCACGACAAUAUAUAACAUAACCGGUUUACCACAAGGACGUUCUCGAAAGAAACCUUCGUUAGCAAGAUUUUUAACUCGACUAAAAAUUCUUGAACCCAUUUUUUAAAUAAAAAUUUCGUUCUAUUUUGUAAUUUCUCUGUUGUAAUUUUACAAUUGAUAAUAGUAUAAAAUUUCAUUAUGAUUAAGAUUAUUUCUUGCUUCAAUUUUGAAUAAUAUACAUGUAUAAAUGUAUAUCAUGAUCUGUUGGAUGAAAUUAAAACGAACGAUUUCUUAUCGAUGAACACCGAUCAAUUGGUCAAGGUUUAUUACAAUCUAUUGAUUGUAUAAUCAAUAGCGAAAGUAACAUCGAAUGUGAAAGACUUUCUUUUCGUCUUUGGAAAGUAUUGCGAGACCAAUGUCUACUCUACUAAGCAUAUCCACUUCAUUAAUAUAAACGAUAUCAAAACAUAUUCGAACAGCUGCCUUAAAAUAAGCGGAUAUUGCCAGAUGAAAUUAAUUUAUAUUCAUUUGAUUUCAUAAUGACAGAGAAAGAAUAUUUUAGUGAAUAAAAUAUAUAAAUAUAUUGCAUUAACAAAGAAAUUUUGAUGAUCUUUGUUGUACGUUAGUUCAAAAAAAGAAAAAAAAAAGAAAUCAAACGAUAUAAAUAUAUCAUCAUUUUCUGAAAAGAUAAUUUAAUAGGACGAUUAUAUUCAAGAUAUCAAAAGAUUAUUUUUUGCUAUAUCCUUAUAAAAUGUUAAACGUUUCAUUUAUUUCUUAAGAAAUCUUUCGAUCGAGAUACGUCUAACUUUCUCAGGGUCAAUAUUGUCAAGGUAAAAUAUUAAAGUAUAAUUCACUAAACGUUUCUAUCAUAAUGCAUAUAGGAAGACUGGAAAGUCGUUCUACAAUUUGAUGUCGGUGAAAAUAUCGGUCAACCAUCAUCGUCUCCAUUUAUAGUCGACAGUGAAUUAGGCAAUGCGUAUUAGAAGUUACUUCAGUAAUAUUCAAGUGAUAUGUCAAUAAUGAUCUAGAAAUCAUGAAAAAGUGAAAUUGUCAUAGCGUGUGCUCUUGUAUUAUAUUUGAAAGUUUAAAGAAAGACCAAACAUACACAGUCUAAAUGUCAUAACGGUAAUCUCUAAGACGUUUUCCUGAUGGUAAAACGAUGCGGUGGUACCUUUCACCUUUCUUCGAGCAAACGAAUUGGAGUUUCCUAUGACGAUAAUCCCGAAUACAUGCUUAUAAAGAGGGAAAGUUAGGUGGAACAUACGUAUGUGUGUUCCCUGUAAAGAAAGCGGAUGUCUAAGUGGCUCAUAAAAAUAUUCCUUCCUAAGAUAAAUCUGACACGCACACGUGCGCGAGCACGGUCUUAUCUUCUUUAUCUUGCUUCACGAAGUUGUUUAUAUGCAUAAUUAUUGACAAUAUUAUCGAGGAAAAAAGAAUUUGCUAUAAAAAGUAGCAUUGACCGAGGAAAGUAAAACGUCGAAAGCGACUCCGACUCUCGUCGUCACGUCGACUGGUCAGGCCGUUUCUCAUAAAGCCGUUCGUGGUUAUACGAGCGUUUCUUUGUGUCACUAAAAGUGAAACCUCACGAUGAAAGUGGGCAAACCAGGAGGAACCCUAUCUGGCACAGAGGAAGGCUUUUACUUUUUUUUUUUAAGUUAAAAUAAUUUUGGUCGACGAAAGUAUUGCAUCACGUGCACCUUGAAAUCUGUAUGAAUAUGCUUUUCAUGUUUAAAGAAAUGUCACUUUAUUCCUAUAAAUAGAGAAUUUCUAUUCUCUUCUCAUUGAUCCAAUUAUAAAAUAAUAUACACACACACAUAUAUAUAUCGUAUAUAUCUGUUAACGCAUUUAGAAACGUUAUCACUUGUGCAUAAUUUCUUUAUUCAACGAUAAUCAAUAUCAUUUGAUAUUCCGUGAAUGUAACUUUGCUUUGUCAACGAUUAUCGAUUGCCGACGGUACAAUUUUAAUUCACAUAUAACUUGCUUAAAUAUCAAAUAAAUAUUUGAAUUAAUGAUAACAAUUCAAUAAAAUUAAUAAUAACAUAUUCAUAUACAUGAUAAACGUUUCAAUAAUUUUAUUUAGCAAAUAAUAAUGAUAUUUUCCAGGUAUUUGUUUUCAGAUAGAAUAUAAUCAUUGAUUAUAUAUAUAUGUGUGUGUGUGUGUAUGAAUACUAUGUGAAAGAACAAACACCCACGUAGAAAGUGUAUUUAUUGGGUAUCAGAUAUACUUGAAGAUCAAGUGGGCGAAAUACUAUUCGUGCAUUCAUGCAUGAAUUUAAAAAACUUUUGUUUCCUAUUUGUCCUCGAAGAAUGUAAUUUUUUUGUUCCAGGAUUAUUUUGAACAAUGAUUCAGAAAUAUGAAAUGUGAAGAUUAAGAAUUAAUUCCAAUUUUAAAGUGAUAAAAAAAUGAAAAACAUUGUGUCUGAAGAUAUAUAUUUGUCUAAAUCUAAGUAGUAACGGUUUAUAAUUAGUCAGGCGGGAUAUCUACGAGCAUCGCUAUGACAUAAGUAAAUAAAUUUUAAAUAACUUGAUUAAAUUCAAGAUUCUACAGAGAUGGAAACCAGUUUUCUGCUUAAUUUAUUUUAAUUAGUUUUUUUUUUCUGAAUAUAUUUCAACAAGUUUUUAAAGUUGAAAAUAAUCAAGACGAUGUAUUGUCUACUUGUGAAAUCAAAUAAUAAAGGUAUUUUGCAAUCGUAAUAAAAUGGAUAACAAAGAGAAUUCAUUCUCCAAAAAAAAGGUGAUAUCAGGAAUGAAAAAUUGUAUAUGGGUCAAUAAUUAUGGUUAAUUAGCAUGAGAUGCUUGUAAACUUUCUAUUGGUAUAAUAAAUUUUUGUUUUCUUAGUAGGUGUAAGCGAGUGCCAAACAGUUUCAUAAUACGCAUACCAAAGAGAAAGAAAUCUGCGGGUUUGUUAAAAGGAGAAAAGCAUCAAAUCUACAUAUAAUCAAGUGAACCUCUGCGGUAACAUUUUUUGAUCUCUUGAAGAUAUAAAUUCCUGACUGAUGUACUUCCUUGGAAUCAUAAUUCCAGCAAAAUCCGAAACGAUCCUUAAAUGGUUCUUUUCUCUUGGAGAUUCGAGGAUCACGCAACUGUUCUUUGUAAUAUAUCGGAAGAUAUAUUUGUGGAGUAGUAUCGAUCGUUUCCAAGACUGGUUCCUUUUUGCUCGAUGACCAUGGAUCAACUGUAUCGUCCGUUUGCUCGCCCGUAGAGAAAUGCUUUUCGUUCGAGUCAAAGCGCGACGGUAUAAUAAGGUGGUAGGGAGGAAUCUCCUCGUAGUAAAGUAGUAAGACAACAAGAAGUUGUUGAUCGGUUAACACGACCGCAAGCUGGAAUUAUAAGAAAACCACAUGUUAAAUAGGUGUAUGAAAACGAAGAAUGAAUAAAAAUUGAUUAAAAUUCCUGGUAACAAAGUGGUUUUCCUUGAAUUGAUGUAACAGAGAAAUGAUGUAAAUAUUCGCUAAUAAAUAUCGAAUGACUGGUUUUUAUACAUCAUUAAAUAUUAACUCGAUUGAUUACAAUAAUCAUAUUUAAAGUGAAUGAGAAUAAUGUAACGGUCAUUAAGACAUGCUCUAGAAAAUUCCUAAUUUUCCACCUGAUUCAUCGUUUAUUCAGGAAUUACGUCAGAGUACAAGUUAGCUCAUGCGUUAGAAUGCAUCGCUGCAACUCGUCCAACUCGAGUUGAUCUUAUUGCAAGUCUCUGGAUAAACCACUUUCUCGCUUUCUACAGGAAAUGUUUUGGUACGUUCGAGGUUCUCAUUUAGCUAAUCAUUUGUUUUGACAAUUUAUUAACUAUUUUAUUAGCUAUUUUAUUUUUUUAAAAGCUCACUUGUUAAUCUAUGACAUAAUAAAGCCAGGUAACUGAAUUAUCAGCUUAUUACUUUUUUAUAAAUUGAUAACUUUUAAGAAAGCUUAUUUUUUCUAGAUGCACGUAGUUUGCAUAUUUGUGGUAGUUAACGAUCCACGUGCCUGACACAUCGUUCUAAAGGAAGUAGUUAAAAGUCAUUGUGAAGAACAUAAAUAAGACAGCCUCUUCUCCAUUGUGUGAUAAAAUUUUAAUUAUGUUGGUUAACGAGCUACUUCUAGACAAUGAUCUUUCUCCAUUUGUUUUUGUCCUUUUAAGAAAAUACAUUUUAAUGAGUUCUUAAUUCUAACUUUAAUGACUUCUUUGUAUUUCCUGCGAAUUUCACAUUCUGGAAAUAUCUAGGCUCGCUAAUCUCUAUGCUUUAGCAAAUAAGUCGAAAUGGCAAAAAUUAAAAUGAUCGAAUUUAUUUUAUUAAUUUGCAAAAAUUAUCUUUUAUUUAUUUAUUUUUUUUUUCUUUUUUUUUUCAUUAUAAAUUCGCAUUUUGUUUUCAACGUUUAGAAAUC